GGGUAGUAUAACUUGGAAGACACAUAAUAAUAACAAUAAUGAUCAUUUUACUGCCAGAUUCUGUGCUAAACGCAUGGAUACUCAGUCUUUCUUACUCUCUACUAAUCCCUCUCCUAUUCUUCCAGGGAAAUCAUUUUUACUCGCUGAAGAAGCUGGGACACUCAUUCUGCGGAAUUUCCUCCACUCCAGAUGUUGUGGAUUAUAUAAUCCUCAUAACAAUCACCGCAUUAAUCUCAUGAGAUUGUUGAGCAGAAGCCAGGGACAGCUGUCUUCCUCUGAUGCCCUAUGGUGAUGCCCACAGGAUCUUUCGCCUUUCGGGGUUGAACCCACUAAAAGGUGUGAGAGGAUGAAAGGAUGUGUAUCAUUUAGCAGCCCUGAUAGCUAGGAUUUGACUAAAGGAUCCUAUGCACAGAAACCCAAGAAUCGUAGAAAGGCAAUCAUUUUCCUUCAGGUGUGUUUUUCUCAGCAACAUCAACUUAUCUGGCUUUCUCUAUGUAAAUGUACUGAAAUAAAAUAUCUGUAUGCAGUCUGUAUGUUAAAUGUGUAUAUGUAUAAACGUACCACAGUUGGUUUGUAUAUAUCCUUCUGGGAGACAGAACUUGAAUCUCAGGCAUGAUAGUUUAAAUGUAGCCAUUUGCUUGAUAUGUACAAAUGGUGCAGGGAAGAAGUGAACCAUCUCUGAGGAACGGUUAGGUCUUUACAAGGAAAGGAGAAAGAAAUCUGUUAGGAAAGUGAGGUCCCCAAAAACUG
rnacentral:lncRNA from 1 species